rnacentral:lncRNA from 13 species
GUAUAAUUGAGGCCUAAGUGGAGUUUCCACCUAGAAUGGAUGGUGACCAUGGCCACAAUGCACCUUUCUCUGAGCCAGGGGGGAAUGGUGGUCCUCCCCCAACCAAGGGAGGGCUCAUCUAGGUGUGCAGGUUGGGGACACCAACAGAGACGCUGUGAGGCAGGGAGGAAGAAGGCUUGCCCCUUUUCCUCAUUGUGAAUCCUAAAAACCGGCCCCUACACGUUGUCCUGCAUUUGCUUAUGGUACAGACACAUUGUCUUAGUCCAUUUGUGCUGCUGUAACAAAAUAUCUGAGACUGGGUAAUUUAUAGAGAACAAAAAAUGUAUUUCUUACAGUCCUAGAAGCUAAGAAGUCCAAGAUCAAGGGCACCAGCAUUCAGUGUCUGGUGAGGGUCUUCUUACAUGUCGGAAAGUGGAAGAGCAAAAGGGAUGAUCUCUCUCUCUCUGGAGGCUCAUUUAUAAGGGCAUUAAUCCACCCCAAAAGAGCCCACCUCUUUGCACCACUACAGUGUAGAUUAUGUUUCAACAUGAAUUUUGCAGGGGACGUCAACAUUUAAACCAUAGCACACAUCAAAGUAAAUCUGGAAGCACGACAUGGUUGACAUGUUGAAUUUCAUGUGUCAACAUGACUGGGCCACAGGGUGCCCAGGUGAAAUAUGACUUUGGGCUGUGUCUGGGAGGGUGUUUCUGGAUGAGAUUAGCAUUUGAACUGGUGGACUCAGUAAAGUACGUGGCCCUCCUUAAUGUGAGCGAGCCUCAUCCAAUUGUUUGAAGACCUGAAUAGAACAAACAGCAGAGAAAGGAAAAAAAAAUAUUGCCACCCCCUUUUCUUUAGCUAGAUCAUCUCAUGUCAUCUUCUCCUGCCCUCAGGCUUGGAUUUAUACCAUCAGCUUCCCUAGCUGUCAGUCCUUUGGACUUCAGACUGAAUUAUACCAUCGGCUUUCCCAGCUAUCCAACUUGCAGAUGGCAGAUAAUGGGACUCCUCAGCCUCCAUAAUCAUGACACUGAACAUGGCAGAUGAAUGGUGGAAUCCAAUUCAAAGUGCAAGCGACUGUGGAAUCUGACAUGCCUCACACUUCACUUUGAACUUUCUAAGCUGCUCAUUCUUUGGUACCUGCUUGCCGCGCUCAACUCCCAGUGGACAUUCGUGCUGGCCCACAUGCACAGGGGAGCCUCCAGCCCUGGAGAAUAGCUGAGCCUCAAACAUGGCUACAGUCUCACAAGAAUCAAGUCAUAUGGACUGCAUAGACAUUUGGACUGCAUUCUCACCUCAGGUUUCCUUGAAGAGAAGGAAUUUCCUUUCCAUUACCCUGGAGGCAAAAAUAUAGGAUGAAUCCUUCUGCCGCCUUUUGGCUUCCUUAGCUCCUAUUCUAUUUUUUUGUUUGUUUGUUUUGUUUUUUGUUUUUUUCUUCUGAGACUGAGUCUCACUCUAUCAGCCAGGCUAGAGUGCAGUGGCGUAAUCUCAGCUCACUACAAUCUCUGCCUCCCAGGUUCAAUA